AGUGAACGCUGGCGGUAGGCCUAACACAUGCAAGUCGAACGGCAGCACAGUAAGAGCUUGCUCUUACGGGUGGCGAGUGGCGGACGGGUGAGGAAUACAUCGGAAUCUACUUUUUCGUGGGGGAUAACGUAGGGAAACUUACGCUAAUACCGCAUACGACCUACGGGUGAAAGCAGGGGAUCUUCGGACCUUGCGCGAUUGAAUGAGCCGAUGUCGGAUUAGCUAGUUGGCGGGGUAAAGGCCCACCAAGGCGACGAUCCGUAGCUGGUCUGAGAGGAUGGACCGGCACAAUGGAACUGAGACAAGGUCCAAACCCCCAAGGGGAGGAGCCGUUGGGAAUAAUGGACAAAGGGCGGAAACCUGAUCCAAGCAUUCCGGGUGGGUGAAGAAGGGCUUCGGGUUGUUAAGCCCUUUUGUUGGGAAAGAAAAGCAGCAAGUUUAUACCCCGCUGUUCUGAAGGUACCCAAAGAAUAAGGACCGGCUAAAUUCGUG
rnacentral:rRNA from 1 species